AGGAGCCGUAUACGAGGCCCGUACGUACGGUUCUGUGAGAGGGAUGAGGUGAGAGUAAUUAGCUCACCUCACCCUACUCGAU
rnacentral:ncRNA from 1 species